GAGAGCACAGUACGAUGAAAGUUGUAAGCUGUGUUCGAGGGAGAGUUAUUGUCUAUCGUUGGCCUCUAUGAUAGAUAAAAUUAACCCAUUUAAGAGGUUGUUUUCUCAUACUAA
rnacentral:ncRNA from 1 species